rnacentral:rRNA from 1 species
UACGUAGGUGGCAAGCGUUUGUCCGGAUUUACUGGGCGUAAAGAGCGCGCAGGCGGUCGUGCAAGUCGCGUGUGAAAGCCCCCGGCUCAACUGGGGAGGGUCACGCGAUACUGCUCGACUCGAAGGCAGGAGAGGGAAGUGGAAUUCCCGGUGUAGUGGUGAAAUGCGUAGAUAUCGGGAGGAACACCAGUGGCGAAGGCGACUUCCUGGCCUGUUCUUGACGCUGAGGCGCGAAAGCUAGGGUAGCAAACGGGG